AGCCCAAACCGUUGCCGUUUCGGCGACAGCGGGGUCAUGGGACCGCGAUAUUCGACGGAAGACGAAGUGCAAUUACCUGGAAAGGUAAGCCGUGGAGGGUGACAGCCCCGUGCACGACACCUCUUUCGAAGAUAGCGGUAUCCCGAGUAGGGCGGGACACGAGAAAUCCUGCCUGAAUUCGCCAGGACCGCCUGGCAAGGCUAAAUACUCCCGAGAGACCGAUAGUGAACCAGUACCGCGAGGGAAAGGUGAAAAGUACCCCGAGCAGGGGGGUGAAAUAGACCCUGAACCCGCGCGCCUACAAGCGGUCGGAGCCAUGAAAUAUGGUGACGGCGUGCCUUUUGCAUAAUGAGCCUACGAGUUAGUCGUCACCAGCGAGGUUAAGGGCUUCAGGCCCGUUAGCCGAAGUGAAAGCGAGCCUUAACAGGGCGUCGAGUUGGUGGCGCUAGACGCGAAACCUUGUGAUCUACCCACGAGCAGGUUGAAGGUCGCGGUAACACGUGAUGGAGGACCGAACCGGUAAACGUUGAAAAGUUUUCGGAUGACUCGCGGGUAGGGGUGAAAGGCCAAUCAAACUGGGAAAUAGCUCGUACUCUCCGAAAUGCAUUUCGGUGCAGCCUGUGAUGUUCUGUUCCAGAGGUAGAGCUACUGGUUGGACGCGAGGGCUUCACCGCCUAUCAAAUCCGGAUAAACUCCGAAUGCUGGAACACGAAAUCAUGGAGUGAGCCCGCGGGUGCUAAGGUCCGCGGACGAGAGGGAAAGAACCCGGACCACCGGCUAAGGUCCCGGAUGGACAGUUAAGUUGAUCAAACGAGGUGGGAUCGCGGAGACAGCUAGGAUGUUGGCUUGGAAGCAGCCAUUCAUUUAAAGAGUGCGUAACAGCUCACUAGUCGAGCGAUCCCGCGUGGAUAAUACACGGGCAUCAAACUGUCAACCGAAGCCGUGGGGUUAGUUAAUGACUAACCGGUAGGAGAGCAUUCCUGCCAGCUUAGAAGGUCACCCGCGAGAGUGACUGGAGCGGCAUGAAAAGCAAAUGUAGGCAUAAGUAACGAUAAUGGGGGCGAGAACCCCCCACGCCGCAAGACCAAGGAUUCCCCGGCAAUGUCAAUCAGCCGGGGGUCAGCCGGCCUCUAAGGCUCACCCGAAAGGGGAUGCCGACGAGAAACGGGUUAACAUUCCCGUGCUUCUCGUCACCGUGACGCGGUGACGGGGUGAUGAAUGGACCGCGCGCUGACGGAAUAGCGCGUUGAAGGCCGUACCCUUUGACGGUGGUAGUCAAGCACGCCACCGGAGGCGAGAGCCGAUAGUACCACGAGACCCCGGUCGAGUGGAUAGCGUCCAGGCAAUUUACCCCCUAGAAAACCCGCUAAACUUCAAGUGACGAGGAACCGUACUGUAAACGGACACACGUGGUCGGGUAGAAUAUACCAAGGCGCUCGAGUGAUUCAUGGUCAAGGAACUAGGCAAAAUAGUCCUGUAACUUAGGGAUAAAGGACGCUCUAGUGAUAGAGCCGCAGAGUAAUGGCCCAGGCGACUGUUUACCAAAAACACAUGGCUAUGCCAAAUCGAAAGAUGACGUAUAUGGCCUGACACCUGCCCGGUGCCGGAAGGUUAAGAGGAGAGCUCAUCGGAAACGAGAAGGUUUGAAUUGAAGCCCCGGUAAACGGCGGCCGUAACUAUAACGGUCCUAAGGUAGCGAAAUUCCUUGUCGGGUAAGUUCCGACCUGCACGAAUGGUGUAACGAUCUGGGCACUGUCUCGACCAUGAGCUCGGUGAAAUUGUAGUUCCGGUGAAGAUGCCGGGUACCCGCGACGGGACGGAAAGACCCCGUGAACCUUUACUGCAGCUUCGCGUUGUUCCCGGGCACGGGACGUGUAGGAUAGGUCGGAGGCUAGGAGUCGGUUUCGCCAGGAAUCGAGGAGCCAUCGUUGAAAUACGACCCUUCUCUUGUCUGGGAUCUAACCCAUGGUAAUGGGGACACCGCGUGGUGGGUAGUUUGACUGGGGUGGUCGCCUCCAAAAGCGUAACGGAGGCUUCCAAAGGUACCCUCGGGUUGGUUGGUAAUCAACCGUAGAGUGCAAUGGCACAAGGGUGCUUGACCGGGAGACCAACGAGUCGAUCGGGUGCGAAAGCAGGGCAUAGUGAUCCGGUGAUCCCGCGUGGAAGGGUCAUCGCUCAAAGGAUAAAAGGUACUCCGGGGAUAACAGGCUGA
rnacentral:rRNA from 1 species